rnacentral:rRNA from 1 species
UGGAGAGUUUGAUCCUGGCUCAGGACGAACGCUGGCGGCGUGCCUAAUACAUGCAAGUCGAGCGGACUUGAUGAGGAGCUUGCUCCUCUGAUGGUUAGCGGCGGACGGGUGAGUAACACGUAGGCAACCUGCCUGCAAGACCGGGAUAACCCACGGAAACGUGAGCUAAUACCGGAUAUCUCAUUUUCUCUCCUGGGGAGAUGACGAAAGACGGAGCAAUCUGUCACUUGCAGAUGGGCCUGCGGCGCAUUAGCUAGUUGGUGAGGUAACGGCUCACCAAGGCGACGAUGCGUAGCCGACCUGAGAGGGUGAACGGCCACACUGGGACUGAGACACGGCCCAGACUCCUAC